AUGGUUGGAGAUGGAUUGAUUGGUGAGACGCGGGGCCUGGGGCGUGGAUCGUUGCUGGAAAGCAGAUAAUGAAUGGGACUCUCCUCAACGUGUCUCACGGUGCCUGGUACAUCAAGUAGAUUAACACUGCUUAUUAGUUUUGUUCAACUUGCAGCGAAAAAAUGAUCAUACCUUAGUUGGAGAUGGAUUGAUUGGUUUUUGUUCAACUUGCAGCGAAAAAAGGAUCAUGAGACGCGAGGCCUGCGGGCGUGGAUCGUUGGUAGAAAGCAGAUGAUGGAUGGGACUCUCCUCAGCGUGUUUCACGGUGCCUAAUCGAUCUCUUCCUGGGGUGGGCGAGGCGAGCGUGGGGCGAGAGAAGGAAAGUGCCUGAUCAAUCUCUUCCUGGGGCCUGAUCGAUCUCUUCCUGGUGUGGGUGCUAAUAUAGUUUUUUCAAAAGGAAUCGUGUGUGUCUUGGUUUGUUACUACGAACCCAAACGGCAAGCUAUCCUGGUUGGAUUCAGUUAUGUGAUUGUAUAUGGCAGUUCCUGCCUGAUCUAUCUCUUCCUUGGCAAUUCCGGCAAGCUAACCUGGUUGGAUUCAGUUCGUGAUUGUAUAUGGCAGUUCUGAUCGAUCU
rnacentral:lncRNA from 1 species